rnacentral:rRNA from 1 species
AUUGAACGCUAGCGGGAUGCCUUACACAUGCAAGUCGAACGGAGUGGCGAACGGGUGAGUAAUGUAUCGGAACGUGCCCAGUAGCGGGGGAUAACUCCCCGAAAGCGUCGCUAAUACCGCAUACUAUUGGAGCGGCCGAUCUCGGAUUAGCUAGUUGGUGGGGUAACGGCGCACCAAGGCGACGAUCCGUAGCUGGUUUGAGAGGACGACCAGCCACACUGGGACGGAGACACGGCCCAGACUCCUACGGGAGGCAGCAGUGGGGAAUUUUGGACAAUGGGGGAAACCCUGAUCCAGCCAUCCCGCGUGUUCGAUGAAGGCCUUCGGGUUGUAAAGCACUUUUGGCAGAAAAGCGGUAUCUGCAGAAUAAGCACCGGCUAACUACGUGCCAGCCGCCGCGGUAAUUC